rnacentral:rRNA from 1 species
CGAGCGCUGGCGGCAUGCCUAACACAUGCAAGUCGCACGAGACCUUCGGGUCUAGUGGCGCACGGGUGCGUAACGCGUGGGAACCUGCCCUUAGGUUCGGAAUAACUCCCCGAAAGGGGUGCUAAUACCGGAUAAUGUCUUCGGACCAAAGAUUUAUCGCCUUUGGAUGGGCCCGCGUUGGAUUAGCUAGUUGGUAGGGUAAAAGCCUACCAAGGCGACGAUCCAUAGCUGGUCUGAGAGGAUGAUCAGCCACACUGGGACUGAGACACGGCCCAGACUCCUACGGGAGGCAGCAGUGGGGAAUAUUGGACAAUGGGCGAAAGCCUGAUCCAGCAAUGCCGCGUGAGUGAUGAAGGCCUUAGGGUUGUAAAGCUCCUUUACCCGGGAUGAUAAUGACAGUACCGGGAGAAUAAGCUCCGGCUAACUCCGUG